rnacentral:rRNA from 1 species
AAUACGUAGGGUGCAAGCGUUGUCCGGAAUUAUUGGGCGUAAAGAGCUCGUAGGCGGUUUGUCGCGUCGACUGUGAAAACCCGAGGCUUAACCUCGGGCCUGCAGUCGAUACGGGCAGACUAGAGUUCGGUAGGGGAGACUGGAAUUCCUGGUGUAGCGGUGAAAUGCGCAGAUAUCAGGAGGAACACCGGUGGCGAAGGCGGGUCUCUGGGCCGAUACUGACGCUGAGGAGCGAAAGCGUGGGGAGCGAACAGGA